rnacentral:tRNA from 1 species
CGGGGUGUAGCGCAGCCUGGUAGCGCGCAUCGUUCGGGACGAUGAGGUCCGCGGUUCGAAUCCGCGCACCCCGACCA